UUUCACAUCUUGCAAUUGGCAGAGGGAUCAUUCUAAAUCGUAGUAAUACGGAUUAGAUGUGAACCAAACCACCCUGAGCGUAGUCGAAGGGUAAACGUUAUUUAAGUCAUGAUACCUUGGGAUUCGCUAGUCCCAUGCUCUAUCGGUGCUGAUUAAACAUUCCGAAAGGAAAGUGUCUUUACCAUAACAAGCUUUUAUAACCUGGUUGAAGCAAACUUUAC
rfam:Aphanizomenon flos-aquae 2012/KM/D3 spades_183_len_T:9642, whole genome shotgun sequence.